rnacentral:rRNA from 1 species
GAGUUUUGAUCCUGGCUCAGGAUGAACGCUAGCUACAGGCUUAACACAUGCAAGUCGGAGGGGAAACGACAUCGAAAGCUUGUCUUUUGAUGGGCGUCGACCGGCGCGACGGGUGAGUAACGCGUAUCCAACCUCGCCCACCACUUGGGGAUAACCUUGCGAAGUAAGACUAAUACCCAAUGAUAUCUCUAGAAGACAUCUGAAAGAGAUUAAAGAUUUAUCGGUGAUGGAUGGGGAUGCGUCUGAUUAGCUUGUUGGCGGGGUAACGGCCCACCAAGGCAACGAUCAGUAGGGGUUCUGAGAGGAAGGUCCCCCACAUUGGAACUGAGACACGGUCCAAACUCCUACGGGAGGCAGCA